rnacentral:rRNA from 1 species
UACGUAGGGUGCAAGCGUUAAUCGGAAUUACUGGGCGUAAAGGCGUGCGCAGGCGGUUUUGUAAGUUUGUCGUGAAAUCCCCGGGCUCAACCUGGGAAUGGGCAUGAAGACUGCAAGGCUAGAAUCUGGCAGAGGGGGGUAGAAUUCCACGUGUAGCAGUGAAAUGCGUAGAGAUGUGGAGGAACACCGAUGGCGAAGGCAGCCCCUGGGUCAAGA